rnacentral:sRNA from 1 species
AUGGUAUGCAUUAUAUUGGUUCAUUUUCAACCUUUUUUUCAAAUGGCAAAUGUAGUGAUUAUUUUCCAUUUAAAUGUUGAAGAAAAUUUAAGUUUAUUAGUUUAUUUCUUGUUUAAAUUUAACUGUCAUUAUACUUUUAGUGAAUUUUAUUGUAUAGUGUGAUUGACUUGAUGCUUUGUCUAAUUAGGGAUCGGAAAAAAUUCGAGGCAUAAGGAUAUGCUCACCUGAACCUUCAAAGAUGAAAUUAGAACCUGAAUGUCUUGAAAAGAUGAAAAAUCUCAAGUUUCUCAUAGUUAGUAAUGUGGAUAUUUGUAGAGGUCUCAAAUAUCUUCCUAAUGAAUUAAGGGUUCUUGAUUGGUCUGGAUUUCCUUUAUCUUCCUUACCAUCCAAUUUUGAUCCUCAAAAUCUCAUUGCACUCAACAUGCCAGAAAGUCAGGUUACAUUGGACAAGCUUUUCAAGGUAUAAUCAUUUUUAUUUAUUUAUAAAUUAUUAUUACUUUAUUAAACUAUAUUUUAAUAACAUUUGUUGGAGUUAAAAAUUUUGAUUUUCUUUUUUCUACAGAGGAUACAAUGCAAAAACUUGACAUAUAUGAAUUUCAAUUCCAAUCAAUACAUUAGGGAAUUACCCGACUUAUCGAGUGCCACCCCAAACAUAAAGAAAUUGGAUCUUCGUGAAUGUAGAAAAUUAGUCAAGGUUCCUGACUUUGUUGGAUAUCUUGAUAAGCUUGAAAGCUGGGACCUCUGGGGUUGCGAUGAACUUCAAAUUUUUCCAAGCUUUAUUGUGAUGAAAUCUCUUAAAUAUUUAAAUCUUCUUGAAUGUGCAAGGUUUAAGAGAUUCCCCAAUAUUCCACAGGAAAUGGAAAAUUUAAAGUAUCUAAGUCUUGCACAUACUGCCAUUAGAGAGCUUCCUCCAUCAAUUGAGAAUCUCACUGGGCUUGAGCGAUUAGACAUAGGUUCCAGUUUCUAUUCGUGUCAGCUUCCUAGUAGCAUUUAUAAAUUGCAACAACUUUGCAUACUCUUACUUUAUGGUAAUGUCAAAUUUCCAAAGGACGUGGGGAUUGGUAGACAAGCAGCAACGUGCAAUUCUUAUCGUGGCUUUUCAAAAUAUUGUUUUUCAAAGUUGAAUUUUCUAAAAAAGUUGACUUCUUACUUCACCCAAUCAGAGAAAUGUUUAUUAUCAGGGAGUACAGAUUUGAACCUCAGAGAAAGCAUUAUCAGAUUCAAUAGAUUAAAUUAUCUUCUAAUUCAGGAUUCCGAAUUCCUUAAGGAAAUUCCAAAGCUUCCAGAAAGUAUAAAACAAGUAAAUGCAAUAAACUGCAUCUCGUUGAAUUCAGAAUCAUUAAUAAAAUUAAUCCUUCAGGUACCCCUCUCUCUCUCUCUCUCUCUCUCUUAAAGUAAUAAUAGAAACAAUUUUGGUUACCUUUGCAAAUACAUUUACUAGAUUUGCUAAACGUCAAUUUCUUAAAAUUCCUAAUUUCAUGCAGUUUGGAAGAAAUUUAGGGCUUUCACCAAAUAUGAAAUGUUCAGGUGUGGAACACAAAGUAUUAAUGGAUUCGCAUUCACAUCGCAAUUUAUCGAAUCAGAUUGAUUGCUCUUCCCGGGUCUCCCUCUCCAAGUUCAACGCAAUUGAAGAUGAGUACUUUCCCACUCUAGAUGCGUAUCUGGGUGAUUCUGGAGAGGGAUAUGAUAUUAGAGUACCAGGAAAGAAGAUUCCGAAUUGGAUCAAUCAUCAAAGCAUUGAAAGUUCCAUAUCAUUCUGGGUUGGUCCUGAGUUUCCAUCAAUUGCUGUUUGUGUUGCUAUUCAUCUAAUUCCGUUGAAGGACAGUUACGCUAAUAAUGAUAAGAAUGGUUCUAUUCGUGAUGAUGUAAUCAAUUGUGUUUGUGAUAUCCACAUUUCUAUCGAUAGUCGUAAGCGACGUCUCAAGCUUUCGGUGGGUUUUCAUGCUUUGAAGUGUGAUCAUCUGUGGUUUGACGGUGAACCUCACAGCGAAUUACAGAGGGUAUUCGGAGACUUGAUGCAAGGUCAUCGGAAUCAUGUUGAGAUUUCAUGUAAAAUCUCUCAAUGGGCAAGUACAAACGGGAAAUACGCUCCUGUGAUUGCAAGGAUGGGGGUACACAAUUCUCAAAAUGUAGCUGACGACACAGAGCUGCUUGCACCUUUGCUAUCUCAAAAUGGUUCACAUACGGACUCAAACGCAGGAGACCCUUCAAGCUCCUCUAGUCCCUGAUGACAUCUGAUUCAAGGCGUCCAGUGGAUAUAGCAAAUGGGCUUGACUUAUGUUUGGGUAUUGACUCAGCAGAUGGUAAUGGGUUUGAUUUGGGUUCUUCUUCAAUAGCCAAUCCCUUUAUAAAAAGAUGACUCCAUUUUCAAUCUAUAUCCACCGUCAAAGAAACCGAGUCCGAUGCAAAGAAAUAUGCCCAGGUAUUAUUUUUACAUUGAAACUAUUUUCCGCUAGAAGACUUAAUUCAAAACAAUGCACUAUGUAUUAUGAAUGAAUAUAUAAGAAAAAUUCAGAAGUCAGAGUAGGAGUGUAUCGCUGAGUUGAAAUUUUAGAAUUAUAUAGUCUGCUCAUAAAGUCAUUGCCCUGUUAAAUUUGGUACAAUUUCAAAGUCAUUUGAGGGUUAAGCAUUUAGUAGAACUAAACAUUUCAUUAGGAAUGACUAAAAAUCUCAGGAAUAGAUUUUGCUCCCUUCAAAAAGGGGAAAAUCGUGGUUUCUUAUUUUAUUUGAAUAGUUUAUGAUUUUAAUUGCCUUCAAUGCGUAGGCUAUACAAUACCAAGUGGCCAAAUCAGAGUGCUUUUUCAUAUAA